rnacentral:rRNA from 1 species
AUUGAACGCUGGCGGCAGGCCUAACACAUGCAAGUCGAGCGGAGCGGCGGACGGGUGAGUAAUGCCUAGGAAUCGGCCUGGUAGUGGGGGAUAACGUCCGGAAACGGGCGCGAAUACCGCAUACUAUCAGAUGAGCCUAGGUCGGAUUAGCGAGCUGGUGGGGUAAGGGCCUACCAAGGCGACGAUCCGUAACUGGGCUGAGAGGAUGAUCAGUCACACUGGAACUGAGCCACGGGCCAGACUCCUACGUGAGGCAGCAGUGGGGAAUAUUGGACAAUGUGCGAAAGCCUGAUCCAGCCAGGCCGCGUGUGUGAAGAAGGUCUUCGGAUUGUAAAGCACUUUAAGUUGGGAGGCGUUACCAACAGAAUAAGCACCGGCUAACUUCGUGCCAGCAGCCGCGGUAAUUC